rnacentral:rRNA from 1 species
CACACGAGUUUGAUCCUGGCUCAGAUUGAACGCUGGCGGCAUGCUUUACACAUGCAAGUCGAACGGUAACAGGGAGCUUGCUCCGCUGACGAGUGGCGAACGGGUGAGUAAUGCAUCGGAACGUACCCAGUCGUGGGGGAUAACGUAGCGAAAGUUACGCUAAUACCGCAUACGUCCUGAGGGAGAAAGCGGGGGACCGUAAGGCCUCGCGCGAUUGGAGCGGCCGAUGUCGGAUUAGCUAGUUGGUAGGGUAAAGGCCUACCAAGGCGACGAUCCGUAGCGGGUCUGAGAGGAUGAUCCGCCACACUGGGACUGAGACACGGCCCAGACUCCUACGGGAGGCAGCAGUGGGGAAUUUUGGACAAUGGGCGAAAGCCUGAUCCAGCCAUGCCGCGUGAGUGAAGAAGGCCUUCGGGUUGUAAAGCUCUUUCAGACGGAAAGAAAUCGCAUCUUCUAAUACAGGGUGUGGAUGACGGUACCGUAAGAAGAAGCACCGGCUAACUACGUG